GGCCCCAUCGUCUAGCGGCCUAGGACACUGGAUUUUCAGUCCAGGUACAGGGGUUCAAAUCCCCUUGGGGUCA
rnacentral:tRNA from 1 species